rnacentral:rRNA from 3 species
UGAGGUCAGGCAAGAACACCCGCUGAACUUAAGCAUAUCAAUAAGCGGAGGAAAAGAAACUAACUAGGAUUCCCUU